rnacentral:misc_RNA from 1 species
AACGCAUAUGGCGCUCGAGGCUUCGGCCGAGAGCAUGUCUGCCUCAGCGUCGGGUUUAUAUCACUCCCUCCUCUCCUUGUGAGAGUAUAGAGUGGACCUGGCCGUUCCAGUGAAGCCGCCCCCAUCCCUCACCUCACCCGUGAGGAGGAGGCGCCAAGGCUCUGGAUCGGCUGAAGAGCAGAGCACUGCAUCAGGACCCAUACCAAAGGGCCGCAACUGGGUGGGCAAUCUUAAAACCAUUGCUGCAAGCUUUAGUUGUUGGCCUGGGCCUCUUGAUACGCAGUCCUCCAACCAGGAAACCAAACCCACUUAUAUCCUCGACCUGAGCUCAGGCAAGAACACCCGCUGAACUUAA